AAUGAUUCCUCGCUUGAAUAAGCAAUCGUCGGCGGGAAAGUGAAAUUUUCGAAAGUUUCCUUUAUUUCUGGAAAAAUCUCACGACGAAUUGUAACCCAUUCAUAGCUCGUUAAUGGAAAAUCAUGAAAUAACAAUCCGAUUUAAAAAAAUGUGAAAUACAUGUUUAACCGUGAGGAAAUUUUUGCAACGAAUUAUUGUAUAGAAAAUUUGUGCAUCGACUGAUCGAUUAUUGUAUAGAAAAUUUGUGCAUCGACUGAUCGAAGAGCGACGAUCCAUUGCUGUGAGCAAUGUAAAGCGAAACCCAAACAAACCCAAACGCAGAGUUUCAACAAGCUCACUAAUUGAACGUUCCAAAUCAAUAAUAGUUUCAAAAAAACUUUCACGAAAAUGUCGUAAAAAUAAGAAUUAUACCAAACUUUGAAAAAUGGUGUCUCAAGUAGUACAACAACUUCCAUUGAAAGGGCCGGGAGGGCCAAAAGAGGGGCUAUUCCAGGGGAGGGAAGACUUGCAAUUUCCGAUGAGCUUACCUCCGGAGAAACCCUCCAAAAGCCAAACGUCGAUACGCCUGCGAGCAAGCACACACCACCACCGUCAGCGCCCAAUGGCAGCCAUCUUGGGGGUUGUGUAUCGCUUUCGAAGAGCGAACGGCAAAACUAUAUGAUGCUUUGCAACACAAUUAAAGUCCGAUAUCGUUAUAUUGAUCGUUCGUCCUUCAUCAAUAUUGUUUAUAUUGAAAAAAAACGUUUUUAAGAUUCCGGAUUAUUCGUGGACAUGAUAAUCAAAUCCUUUUAAAACUUUUCCAUUUCCUUUUUGUAUUUGCGUUACACUUUUAGACUUCUACUUUAUUGAAUUUUAUUCACCAAUUUUCAAAGAUUUUUCCACCGUCAUCUCAGUCAAUCUUUACAUUUAUUUCAACUAUUUAUAUUUAUUUUAAAAAUUAACCGAACAUUCGUUCAUGAUAACUCUUGAUGUUAAAAAGAUUGAAGCUUUUUUGACUGGCAGCUCAUCCACUAUUACCUUGAAUCGUAUAUUCAUCGAAUUUAUUUUAUUUCGUUUUCAUUGUAACGUAUUUCCACACUGCAUUAUUAUUUUGUGCAUUUACGACUCCGAUGAAGAAUGCUGAAAGGUUUCGGCUCGAGGAAAUGCGGCUCUUUGAAUAAUACACUAUAUUAUCCGGGCGAAAAUUCGACAACGCAAAGCCCCAAAUUGCGCACGAAAUAUUGAAAUUCGCAGUGAACUCAAAUUAAAUUUGAAAGCCAGAUCAUACGUUAUUGAACUUUGAAGUGAUAAUCGAUUAAAUGUUUUUGUUUUUUCGUCUAAAUAUCAAAAUGAAUGUUCAUAUUUGAGCAGCGAAAACAAGUCGAAAGUGGAAAAUUUGUGGAUGAACUUGAGCUGCGUUAAAAUUGUAUUUAUUCGUGAAUUUAAAAUCAGAGAGUCCGACUAACGAACGGAAUAAUAGUGAAGGCCAGUAUCGUGUUUCGUGUUUUUAGAAAGGGUUGCAACGUCUCAGGAACAGUUUCCAUCUGCCAAGAAGCGAAGCAGCUAAGAUUAAGAGGGAUCUCUGGUAUACGGCCGUUGGCUAGUCCGGACACGAGGUCUUUUGUCGAAAUAGCCGAUUGAAUUACACGGGGGCGCGUGCCACGAGCGACCCCCUCGCUCCGCAGGGACGACAUGCGCGCUGCCGAGGAGGAUUCUCGUUCUCCUUUCGGACUUAAGCACCUAAUAAGCCCGCUAUUUCGAUUACGAUCUGCAGAGGUGACAGGAUAUGAUGAGAUAAGAAAGAAUAAAGCCACGAGGCCAUCCCAUCACCUUUGAUAUCGCGCUUCAUUCGUUGACAACCGAAAGGGCAUGUUCCAUUUUUGAGAUUUGCUGUCAACGCCGUUUCAAGGGGUCCCAUUUUCAACAGACCGUUGUACAAAAAAUACCACGAGAAAAAUUAAAAAAACAUUUUUUUCCAGUACUUCUAAGUAUGCAAAUGAUACGUACAAGGUUUUAUUUAAAUCCAUCUAACCAAUUUUUAUUUACAAAAUAAACAAAAAACAUUGAAAAUUCCAACGUUUACACUGUUCACCCUUAAAUGUUUACACCUUUAGAUCACAAAAGGAACUUGACUACAAGCGUGUUUUUGGUGCUGUAGAUCUCAUUCUUCGUUUUACGUCAGUGUGCUCUUUAUAAUUCAAAUGCAUUCCUGGAAGAUUUUCUUGAGUAAUCGAUCUCUUGUAAUUUCCAUGUCCUUUUAUUGGAAACGAAUAACGAAGUCAUUAUAAAUUUUUGUCUCAAAAUGAAUGCACUGAAAAAAAAAUUUGAUUGAAAUCCCAGAAUAUAUUUUUGUGCACGUUAAACAAAAUAUUUUGUCUACGCAACGUCUACGAAACUUACAACGGCACAAUAUUUUAAAAUUGCAACAAAAUUUCUUUUCCCGAGGCGCAAUUUCAACGAAUACCUAAAAUAUAUAACUCAUCGAAAAUCCUAUCGAAAUACCAAUAAUUUAUUGACACAAUGAUCGACAAACAAUUCGUCGUCUUCUUUUUUUUUCAGAUUCCCAUUUUUUUCUUGUCUCCCUCUGAUCUCUUGGAGAUCGAGACACACGCGCGUUCGGAUGCAUCGCGGCAGCACAGAAUCACGAAUCGUCAGUGUCAGUCCUGGGACUCUCGAACUUAAUUACAGCCGGGAUUUACUCGAGGAGAAUCUUCGCGGUUGCAACGAGGCAAACCGAGAUACAAGUAUAUGUGCGAGCAAACACAGGUGGUUACAUAUACUGCGGUAAAGCCCAAAAUUUAUGGGGUGAUUUGUGAAAAUAAUCUCGCCACAAGCAUCUUCACCGAGGGGGUACUCUGUACAAAAAAGUGGGUGCAGAAAAUGGGUCGUGGAUGGGGUUCAGAUUGGUUGUAACCAUAGUUUGCGAUCUUAUUCACAUCGGCCAAGCUCGAUUCAAACCGAUUCAGCUUAAUUAGUUAUUUCAAUCGAACGCAUCGACGGACCAUUCAUAAAAUUUAAAAUUCACCAUAAUCGCGAUCGAUCCGAGCAAUAGUUAAAUCGAGUCUGACGUACUAAGCGAAAAUAGUCUGUAUCACAAAGAUAUUUGUAGAUAGGGGAGACCGAGACUAGUUGCAAGUUGACUAACAAAAAAUAACAUACAAACUACUGAAUGUAAACAUACGCUCGUGUGUCCGAACGCGUCGGAGCGACACGUCGUUUAAACAGUGAAGAAUUUUCAUAAAUCCAGGUACAAAACCAAAUUUUUACGUCAAAUCUUAUCUAGCUCCUGCUGCCUCGAAUUUUUUUCCAAUUAUUAGAAUAAUCCUCCACAUGAAUGUUCGUAUAUUGAACUGUAAUUGUCGAUAAUAUUUUUCUCAAUUAUCAUUAUAAUUUGCUGGUAGAACAUUUUGUUGCUGAAAAAAAAGUGAAGUAAAUAGACCAACGGUGGUAUGGAGUUGGUUAACACAUGUGUCGACGUAGUGCUCUAAAUGAGCCCACUCAAGGUGUGCCAGUAAAAAAUAAUAUUCUAUGUGUGUAAAAACUGCAAUUCUGAUUUUGAUGACGAAGAUGAAGAUCAAAUAUUCCUUUUUCUCACACAUAGGGACAAAAAUUAUCUUUACAUUCACUUAUGUCAACAUUUUGUAUUGAUUGUUCGAAUAACCAAAUAAAUAAUAUUGAUAACUA